rnacentral:rRNA from 1 species
GACGAACGCUGGCGGCGUGCCUAAUACAUGCAAGCUGAGCGCUGAAGGUUGGUACUUGUACCAACUGGAUGAGCAGCGAACGGGUGAGUAACGCGUGGGGAAUCUGCCUUUGAGCGGGGGACAACAUUUGGAAACGAAUGCUAAUACCGCAUAAAAACUUUAAACACAAGUUUUAAGUUUGAAAGAUGCAAUUGCAUCACUCAAAGAUGAUCCCGCGUUGUAUUAGCUAGUUGGUGAGGUAAAGGCUCACCAAGGCGAUGAUACAUAGCCGACCUGAGAGGGUGAUCGGCCACAUUGGGACUGAGACACGGCCCAAACUCCUACGGGAGGCAGCAGUAGGGAAUCUUCGGCAAUGGACGAAGGUCUGACCGAGCAACGCCGCGUGAGUGAAGAAGGUUUUCGGAUCGUAAAACUCUGUUGGUAGAGAAGAACGUUGGUGAGAGUGGAAAGCUCAUCAAGUGACGGUAACUACCCAGAAAGGGACGGCUAACUACGUG